rnacentral:misc_RNA from 1 species
GAAAUGCGAUACUUGGUGUGAAUUGCAGAAUCCCGUGAACCAUCGAGUCUUUGAACGCAAGUUGCGCCCGAAGCCAUUAGGCCGAGGGCACGUCUGCCUGGGCGUCACGCAUCGCGUCGCCCCCCGCACUCCGCGCCCAGAAUCAUGGACGCGGUGGUGUCGCGGGGCGGAUACUGGCCUCCCGUGCGCCCCGAGCACGCGGUUGGCCUAAAUGCGAGUCCACGGCGACGGACGUCACGACAAGUGGUGGUUGAAACUCAACUCUCGUAAUGUCGCGGCUCCGGCCCGUCGCACGUUUGGGCUCCACGACCCUUGUUGCGCUUAGGCGCUCCGACCGCGACCCCAGGUCAGGCGGGACUACCCGCUGAGUUUAA